rnacentral:rRNA from 1 species
GAUGAACGCUGGCGGCGUGCCUAAUACAUGCAAGUCGAGCGAACGGACGAGAAGCUUGCUUCUCUGAUGUUAGCGGCGGACGGGUGAGUAACACGUGGAUAACCUACCUAUAAGACUGGGAUAACUUCGGGAAACCGUAGCUAAUACCGGAUAAUAUUUUGAACCGCAUGGUUCAAAAGUGAAAGACGGUCUUGCUGUCACUUAUAGAUGGAUCCGCGCUGCAUUAGCUAGUUGGUAAGGUAACGGCUUACCAAGGCAACGAUGCAUAGCCGACCUGAGAGGGGGACGGCCCAACCGGAACAGGGAACCCGGCCAGACCCCCACGGGAAGCCGCAGGUAGGGAUACUGCCGAAAUGGGGAAAACCCGACCGGGCCAACCCGGGGUGAGGAAAAAAGUUUUUCGGUUGGAAAAACCUUUUUAUGAGGGAAAAACAUAUGUGUAAUUAACUUGGCCCUUCUUACGGGAACUAAUGCAGAAGCCCCCGCUAACCCGCGG